rnacentral:rRNA from 1 species
AGUGAACGCUGGCGGUAGGCCUAACACAUGCAAGUCGAACGGCAGCACAGUAAGAGCUUGCUCUUACGGGUGGCGAGUGGCGGACGGGUGAGGAAUACAUCGGAAUCUACUUUUUCGUGGGGGAUAACGUAGGGAAACUUACGCUAAUACCGCAUACGACCUACGGGUGAAAGCAGGGGAUCUUCGGACCUUGCGCGAUUGAAUGAGCCGAUGUCGGAUUAGCUAGUUGGCGGGGUAAAGGCCCACCAAGGCGACGAUCCGUAGCUGGUCUGAGAGGAUGAUCAGCCACACUGGAACUGAGACACGGUCCAGACUCCUACGGGAGGCAGCAGUGGGGAAUAUUGGACAAUGGCGCAAGCCUGAUCCAGCCAUACCGCGUGGGUGAAGAAGGCCUUCGGGUUAUAAAGCCCUUUUGUUGGGAAAGAAAAGCAGCAGGUUAAUACCCCGCUGUUCUGACGGUACCCAAAGAAUAAGCGCCGGCUAACUUCGUG